CACUACUAGAGUAUAGACAACUUUUCAGUACCUCUGAUUAAGAUCAACAAGGAAACAUCACAAGUGCAUAGUGCAUCGAAGAAUUGAAGCUGAACUAAUUUCCUCUGGAGUAAAGCGGCCAAUGAGUUCUCACGGCAUUGUCACCGCAUUGUCAAGGCAAAUCAAGGCAUUGUCAAGGCAAAUCAAGUUCUGUGAUUAAAGCCCGUAAAAGAGAAACAGCUUGGUUCGUCAUUUCGACUCGAGAGGGAAUUACACCAGGCCUGCCACACACACACGGAAGAGAGCAGAUAAUGGCACAUCUCUGUCAUCUACAUAAAUAUCUGUGGACUGGGCCUCUGUGUACCUCCUAGCAGGCAAUCUCACAGUCACCCAGCGGACCACUUGCAGCCUCUGGAAAUGAAAGAUGGAUCGAUGUCCCACUGCUGAACAUUUUCCAUGUAUACAAGUCAUAUCUGGGAACGCACCUGCGUUCUUUUCUUCUGUUUCCCCAGAUUAGCAUAGAUUCAUUUCACAAAGCUUAAUUUCCCUCAACUCCCUCAGCAGAUUUCACAAUGGGAUAUAUAUUUAAAUGCGGGAUGAAUAUUAAAAGAAAAAUGCUGAACAUACACAGCGCUAAUGCAGCUUAGUUCUGUCCAUAAAUAUAUAUGUUCCGCAUAAAUAUUAAAAUUGCAUAUAUUUUAAGACGUACAUAUAUAUAUUUUAAAAAAUAUAUAUUUCUUUCA